CUAGAACUUCCUUAACAGCCUCCUGAUCUUGUUCUUGAAUACAAAGAAAUACUAUCAGUGAAUGGAGGCAAGUCGUUAAGUUCUGUAAUCUUGAUAGACCAGAGAGAGGGAUGAAUCUGCCAGAUCAGAAGAGCUCCUGAUAUCUUCUUCAUCAGGUAUUUUCAGGACUGCAGAGAUGAACAUUAGUGAGUCCAAAUAGAAGUGGUGAAGGGAGCAGAGAAGAGGAUGGGCCUGUUUCCCAGAGAAGUAGAAAUGACCAGUAGCUCAGGAGAAGAUGCUGUUUCUUCCGGUGGUGUGACUGUGGCCUAAGAAGGUGGAGGAGGAGAGGGAGGAAACCCAUCCAGAUCCUUGUAGGUUGGUGUGAAGGUGGGUGUUGAUUGG
rnacentral:lncRNA from 1 species